UCCAUGGCUUUUGUUGGAGAGGCUAUUCUCUCUUCUUUCUUUGACACCCUGUUCGACAAGUUGAUCUCUUCUGACCUGCUCGAUUAUGCUCGCCAAGUGCAAGUUCAUGCUGAGCUCAACAAGUGGGAGAAAACACUGAAGAAAAUUCAUGCCGUGCUGGAGGAUGCGGAGGAGAAGCAGAUGGAAAAGCAAGUGGUGAAGAUAUGGCUUGACGACCUCAGAGACUUGGCUUAUGAUGUGGAGGACAUCCUGGACGAAUUGGCCACUGAAGCUUUGGGGCGGAAGUUGAUGGCGGAAACUCAACCCAGUACAAGUAAGUUCCGGAGCCUUAUCCCUUCUUGUUGUACUAGCUUCACUCCAAGUGCUAUUAAGUUCAAUGUUGAGAUGAGGUCCAAGAUAGAGAAGAUCACUGAAAGGUUGCAAGAUAUUUCUUCACAGCAAACUAAUCUCCUUUUAACUGAAAAAGUUACCGGGAAAAGGUCCGCCAAACCAACAGAAAUACUACCCACCACUUCUUUGGUAGAUGAAUCGCGUGUUUAUGGUAGGGAAACAGAUAAAGCAGCCAUACUUGACUUGUUGCUCCACGAUCAUGAGCCAAGUGAUGACGCAGUCCGUGUCAUUCCCAUAAUUGGCAUGGGAGGCGUGGGCAAAACUACUCUUGCUCAGCUUGCCUACAACGAUGACAAAGUGGAGAGUCAUUUUGAUCUAAGAGUUUGGGCUUGUGUCUCUGAUGAUUUUGAUGUCUUGAGGGCAACAAAGACAAUUGUUCAGUCUGUUGCUUCUGAUAUGUCCGAUUUCAACGAUCUCAACCUGCUUCAAGUCAAACUGAAAGAGAAACUCUCUGGAACAAAGUUUCUUCUUGUUUUAGACGAUGUUUGGAAUCAGAAUUGUGAUAAAUGGGAUACUUUGUACGCUCCAAUGAGGACUGGAGCACAAGGCAGCAGGGUUAUUGUCACAACUCGUAAUCAAGGGGUUGUAUCAGCCAUCGGAGCCAGCUCAGCCUAUCCCCUCAAGGAGUUAUCCAAUGAUGAGUGUUUGUCUUUGUUUGCCCAGCAAGCAUUAGGUACAGGAAACUUCCAUAAUCAUCCACACCUGAGAGAUGUUGGUGAAGAAAUAGUGAAAAAGUGCAAAGGGCUACCUUUGGCUGCAAAGGCCUUGGGAGGAAUGUUGCGCACAAAACUGAAUCGUGAUGCGUGGAAGGAUAUACUGAAAAGCAAGAUAUGGGACUUACCAGAUCAAGAGAAUAACACUAUUCUUCCAGCUCUCAAAUUGAGUAAUCAUCAUCUUCCUUCACAUUUGAAGUGCUGCUUUGCUUAUUGCUCUAUAUUUCCAAAGGACUACGAAUUCGAUGUGGAUGAAUUAGUCUUGCUGUGGAUGGGAGAGGGAUUCUUGCAGCAAGUAAAAAGACAGAAGCAAAUGGAGGAGAUAGGCACCGAAUUCUUUCAUGAAUUAUUUGCAAGGUCAUUUUUCCAACAAUCAAAUCAUAGUUCAUCACAAUUUGUGAUGCAUGAUCUUGUUCAUGAUCUUGCUCAAUUCGUUGCUGGAGGUGUAUGCUUUAAUUUGGAGGAAAAAAUUGAAAAUAAUCAGCAACAUACUAUUUGUGAAAGAGCUCGUCAUUCAGGUUUCACUCGGCAAGCUUGCGAGGUUGUUGGAAAAUUUGAAGCCUUUGAUAAAGCGAAGAACCUACGCACGUUAAUAGUAUUAUCAAUCAUGAAGUAUCCAUUAGGAUAUAUAUCUAAGCAGGUGGUACAUGACCUAAUAAUGCCAAUGAGAUGCUUAAGGGUACUAUCUUUGGCUGGUUACCGCAUGGGUGAAGUACCAAGUUCGAUUGGUGAGUUAAUACAUCUGCGUUAUCUCAAUUUUUCCGAAUCUAAGAUACAAAGUCUACCUAAUUCAGUGGGCCAUCUUUAUAAUUUACAAACAUUGAUAUUACGUGGUUGUUAUCGACUUACCCAAUGGCCUAUUGGGCUUGGAAAGCUGAAAAACCUUCGACACCUUGAUAUUACGGGUACAAGUGAACUACGAGAAAUGCCUUUCCAAUUUAGCAACCUCACAAAUUUGCAAGUGUUGACUAGGUUCAUUGUGAGCAAAAGUAGAGCAGUUGGAAUUGAAGAACUCAAGAAUUGUUCGAACCUCAAAGGAGUGCUUUCUAUUUCUGGGUUGCAAGAGGUAGUGGAUGUUGGAGAUGCAAGAGCUGCUAAUUUAAAAGAUAAAACAAAAAUUGAAGGGUUGACCAUGGAGUGGAGUAAUGAUUGUUGGGAUGCACGAAACGAUAAACGUGAAUUAAGUGUCUUGGAGUCCCUGCAGCCUCGUGAAAAUUUAAGAAGGCUCACAAUUGCAUUUUAUGGUGGAUCCAAAUUUCCAAGUUGGUUAGGAGAUCCCUCAUUCUCAGUAAUGGUGGAACUAGCUCUCAAAAAUUGCAAAAAAUGCAUGUUGUUACAAAAUCUGGGUGGACUAUCGGUGCUCAAGGUUUUGUGUAUUGAAGGUAUGAGCCAAGUUAAAAGCAUAGGUGCUGAAUUUUAUGGAGAGAGUAUGAAUCCUUUUGCAUCUUUGAAGGAGUUGAGGUUUGAGGAUAUGCCAGAAUGGGAAAGUUGGUCUCAUUCUAAUUUCAUUAAGGAAGAUGUGGGUACAUUUCCCCAUCUUGAAAAGUUUUUGAUAAGGAAAUGUCCAAAACUGAUUGGGGAAUUACCGAAAUGCCUGCAGUCCCUAGUAGAGCUUGAAGUGUCAGAAUGUCCGGGAUUGAUGUGUGGGCUUCCAAAACUUGCAUCUCUCCGUGAAUUAAAUUUAAAAGAAUGUGAUGAGGCAGUGUUGGGAGGUGCUCAGUUUGAUCUUCCAUCCCUCGUUACUGUAAAUCUCAUCCAGAUUUCAAGAUUGACAUGUUUGAGGACCGGAUUUACUGGAUCCUUGGUAGCCUUGCAAGAAUUGAAGAUACACGGUUGUGAUGGGCUGACAUGUUUGUGGGAGGAGCAAUGGCGGCCUUGCAAUCUUAAAAAAUUGGAAAUACGUGAUUGUGCUAAUCUGGAGAAGCUGUCGAAUGGAUUGCAAACUCUCACACGUCUUGAAGAGCUGGAAAUAAUGGCAUGCUUCAAACUAGAGUCAUUUCCUGAUUCGGGUUUCCCACCAAUGCUAAGACGCCUUAAGUUGUUCUAUUGUGGGGGUCUAAAAUCGCUGCCUCAUAACUACAACUCGUGUCCGCUUGAAGUCUUGACGAUUAAUGGUUCUCCAUUUCUCAAAUGCUUCCCAAAUGGUGAGCUACCCACCACACUCAAGAAGCUUUAUAUUUGGGAUUGUCAAAGUCUUGAGUCUCUACCAGAGGGGCUGAUGCACCACAAUUCGACCUCCAGCAGCAACACUUGUUGUCUUGAAGAUUUGUGGAUAAGGAAUUGCUCCUCUCUUAAUUCCUUUCCAACAGGGGAGUUACCCUCUACUCUCAAGAAACUUACUAUUGCUCGAUGCACAAACUUGGAGUCAGUGUCACAGAAAAUUGCACCCAACAGUACAGCCCUAGAGUAUUUACAACUUGAGUGGUAUCCAAAUCUGAAAAGCCUACAAGGAUGCCUUGACAGCCUUCGGCAGUUGAGAAUAAAUGUUUGUGGUCUGGAGUGCUUUCCAGAAAGAGGCUUGUCCAUCCCUAACCUUGAAUACCUUGAAAUUGAGAGAUGUGAGAAUCUUAAAUCUCUAACACAUCAAAUGAGAAACCUCAAAUCUCUGCGCAGCCUGACCAUAUCCGAAUGCCCAGGAUUGGAGUCCUUUCCGGAAGAGGGUUUGGCCCCUAACCUAACAUCACUUGAGAUCGCUAACUGUAAGAAUCUGAAAACUCCCAUGUCUGAGUGGGGCCUUGACACCCUCACCUCUCUUUCUAAAUUGACUAUUAGAAACAUGUUUCCAAAUAUGGUUUCCUUCCCCGAUGAAGAGUGUCUUCUUCCCAUUUCUCUCACCUCCCUUAAAAUCAAAGGAAUGGAAUCCCUAGCCUUCUUGGCUCUCCGCAACCUCAUCUCUCUUCGAUUCUUACAUAUCAUAAAUUGCCCUAACCUCCGGUCCUUAGGGUCGCUUCCUGCAACACUUGCAGAACUUGACAUAUAUGGUUGUCCUACCAUAAAAGAAAGAUACUUGAAGGAGGGAGGAGAAUAUUGGUCCAACGUCGCCCACAUCCCCCGCAUUAAUGAAGGGUUGUAGGUGGAUUGAAUCUUAGAUCACUCUCCCUUCCUUAAUUUCAACUAGGUAAGCUUAAUUUUUGCUGAAAGUUUCUUCAAGUGCUAUUGAUCUCAAGUUGUCCUAAGCUUUGGUCCUUUUUGCUGAAGAAAGAGCUGAAUGCAACAACUAGUGCUUGAAAUCCAGAAUUCUCCUGUUGUGAGACAAAAUUGCUUAAAGGAGAAAGGAGAAAGGAGAAAAUUUGGAUCAGCAUUGCCUAAAUCUCCAACAUUCAGCAACAUGACCUCAUUGGAAAUAUGAAUUUAUAUUGAAUUGUGUUAUUCCUACUCUAGAAGUUGAGAGAUAGAUCAUUCUUUCUUUCACCCAGGAGGGAGAAAAAUAAUGCAGUGGCAGACUAGGUUCCUAACAAAUGUAUGAUGGUGGUAGGUGGUGGAAGCUUGAUGGAUUUGCCAUACAAUGACUUUUCUGCUAGUUGAUGGCAUAAAAAUGAAAGGAAUUUUGAUGCUUAUGGCUCUCCAAGAAGAACUCAACUUAAGGACGUCAAUGUUGUGCUAUUACAUUUGUAGUGGCUCAAGCAAAAUCAACCAUAUUUGGUUUUGGUGCUUAGUGUAGAAUGUAAGAAAUGUGAAACUUGUUUUCUCCUUAGACAUUAGCUGCAGAUGUUUCUACAGGAUUUGGUUCUCUGGUACGGUGAUUUGAACAUUUUUAUUUUCUUAAAAGUUGUAAUUCCUCAAGUGUUUUUUUCCUUUCUUUUUAAAAAGAAAUUUGUGAGAAUAUAGCAAUAUCCUUUUUACCA